rnacentral:tRNA from 1 species
CAAGAAGUAGUUUAGAUAGAAUAUCAGCUUUGGGUGUUGAUGGUAGGGGUUAAUCCUUCCUUCUUGA